AACCGAUGUCGUGUCAGUUUCCUUCCUAAGGGAUUCCAAUUCAAUUUGUAUAGUCAUGAUUUGACGGUCUAAACGCCGCAAUUCAUCAGGUUUAGACUCUUGUUGUAAGCGAAGAGAGGAGCAGGCUUCAUCGACUAAAUCAAUGGCUUUAUCGGGAAGAAAUCGAUCGGUGAUGUAUCUAGCGCUGUACGUAGCUGCUGUUACCAAAGCAUCGUCAGUGAUACGUACACCAUGAUGAACUUCGUAUCGUUCUUUCAGACCACGAAGAAUUGAGAUGGUGUCAGCUACAGAAGGUUCAUUUACCAUAACUGCUUGAAAUCUUCUUGCCAAAGCAGCGUCUUUCUCGAUGUAUUUUCUGUAUUCCUCCAAGGUUGUCGCACCACAACAGUGCAAUUUACCACGGGCUAA